rnacentral:misc_RNA from 1 species
AGAUGAGUCCAUUUCCAUUCAAUACUCGUUCGUGUUCGCAGUCGUCGUCGCGGUAGUCCAACUCGUUGUGGGGUUCUAUUCAUUCUUUUGAACAGUGUGGCGAGCGGAGAUUCAAAUAGUGUUGAGCAGGCUGCUACGUUUCAGCAUGGAGUACAAUCAAUAGUGGUGCAGUGAUUUGAAGGAUACCAGCGUGACAUUGUGGACUACAAUAGCCGAAACAAGCAUGGAUCACUCGGUCAUUCGAAGGAAUCUGUCCAAAGAUACGAGCAAAAUAUGCCGCCUGUGUCUGGGCAAGGAGGUGAAGCUGACACGGCCGUUUAAGGAUCAGGUCGGGACGAACACGGCGCUGCUGCAGAAGAUCUACGAAUGUACAACCGUGAAGAUCACGCUAAAGGCCACCUACCCCGCGGCCAUCUGUGCAAUAUGCGACACCAAGCUGCUCGAGUACAGCAAGUUCCGCGCCAAGUGCAUCGAAAACGACGGCAUUCUGCGGCUCCUACUAGAUGACAUCGGCGUCGACGGCAAGGAAUCGCCGUCACCGUCGCCGGAGACCACGUCGGCUGACGGAGACGAGGAAGACGUCGUCCGCGAGUCGGAGGAGUUCAAGGACCUGCAGCUGCAGCUGUACGGCUCGUCGGACGAGACCACCGUGAGCCAGAGCGAGUUUGCCGGGACGGCGACGGAUGGGGGAGCGUCGUCGUCGACGGAGGCUGCACCAGACGUGGUGACGCCACCCGUCGUGACCAGACCCACGAUCAGUGUGAAGCCGAUUUCAAGCCUGGCGGCAGUGGCGACUCCGCCCAGUGAACCUAAGCAGGAUGCGGUUGUGAGUGGCGGUAAUCCGAAUCAGAAGGAGGUCAACGGCGUUCCGGCGGUGGUUGGUCCCGACGGACGGUUGGAGUGUGUGAUUUGCGCAAGGCCCUUUCGGAACACGUACACGCUUAAGCGGCACAUGAAUCUACACACCGAGGAGAAUUUGUUCACGUGUGAGUAUUGUGGAAAGAAGUUCAACGACCGAUCGAACUGGAAGAUCCAUUUGAGGGCCCACACCGGAGAUAACCUGCUCCGGUGCGCCGUCUGCUUCAAGACGUUCAUCUCGCCAUCGACGCUCAAGUAUCACCUGAGGGCGCAUCGCAAGCUGCAAGUGUUCGAGUGUCGGUUCUGCGCCGAAACGUGCGAGUCGUACGACCUCCUGGCGGAUCACGUCAACGCCAAGCACGGGGACAUCCGGGUUGAUGACUUGGCUGGCAAAGGGGACGAUUCGUUCAUCGCCGGGGACUUUUUGAAGAUCGAAAUGGAAGCGGACGAGACGACGCUUUCGGGCGCCGACGUGGACAUGGAAGAACCGAUGCCGGAACCUCCGCCACUGAUUCCGGCUCCAACGGUGAGGAAGGUGGUGCAAGCGCCAGCGGCCGUGAUCGAGGAACCUGCGGUAAAGAUCAAGGAGGAGAUUUUGGAUGUGGACGAGAUUGACAUCAAACAGGAGCCGGUGGACAAUGAAACGCUGGAACCGGAUCCGGACGGAGUGCAUCGUACGCUGUCGUCGAUUCUGCCACCCGCGGAGGAAGAAUCGCCCCCGGUGAUCCUGUUCCGGUGCGAUUACUGCAUGAAGAUCUUCAAAUACUUGUACGAGCUGCGAGUCCACAUGAAGAUCCAUAACGGAUCCAAAAUCCCGGGUGCUGCAGGAGCCUCGGGAACGCCAUCCAAACCCAUCGUCGACAAGUCCAUCCCGCACACCCUCGACCACGUUGGUCCUCGCGCCGGAAGACACGACACCACCACCCGCGAAGCGCGUCCGCCAUCCGUCGAUCGACGAGGACGUCGCGGAGUUGGCGAACGCGCCCCUCCCCGAACACCAAUGCUCCAAGUGCGACAAGUGCUUCCGGACGGAGGAACUCCUCAAGGUGCACAUCGAGACGCACAAAACGGACGAGGACAUUACGCAGGCCCGGUCCUGCAAGGUCUGCUUCAAGACGUUCAAGUGCGAGCUCAAUCUGGUCUCGCACAUCAAGAAGCACCACCUGUACGAGUCGUACGUGAGCGAGCAGCAACAGCAGCAGGGCGUCCCAGCCGCCGCAGCGACGUCCUCCUCAACGGUCAACGACAAACCCGCCUCGCCGGACAGCAGCAGCAACGAUGGCGCCGGAACGGCAGAUUCCGGCGCCGAGGGCUCCACCUCCGGAGGCGAUCGCCGGUGCGAGAUCUGCGCGCUCACCUUCAACUGCCCGUACAAGCUGGAGAAGCACGUGCUGACCCACUUCAAGAACAACGAGGCGGUCGCGUUCGUGCCAUCGGCCGAUCGGCCCUACAAAUGCACCGAGUGCCAUAAGCGGUUCAAGCGCAAGGACUACCUGCUCAUCCACAUCCGGACGCACACGGGCGAGCGGCGCCACAAGUGCGACCUCUGCUCGAGCGCGUUCGUGCAUCCCUCGAAUCUGAUCACCCACAGGAAACUCCACUCGAACGAGCGACCCUUCAAGUGUGACCUCUGCUCGGCCGCGUUCAAGCUGUACGCGGGGCUGAAAAUCCACCGCAAGCGGUGCGUGCUCAAGUAUCUCCAGGAGAACAGCGUUUCGAUUACGUAGGCGCGC